GACGAACGCUGGCGGCGUGCCUAAUACAUGCAAGUCGAACGCAGUGGGGACGGGUGAGUAACACGUGGGUAACCUCGCAUAAGUGGGGAUAACACUUGGAAACCGGUGCUAAACCGAUAGUGUUGGCUGGUCCCGAGGUGCAUUAGCUAGUUGGUGAGGUAACGGCUCACCAAGGCGACGAUGCAUAGCCGACUGUAGAGGAGGAUCGGCCACACUGGGACUGAGACACGGCCCAGACUCCGACGGGAGGCAGCAGUAGGGAAUCUUGGACAAUGGACGAAAGUCUGACCGAGCAACGCCGCGUGUGUGAAGAAGGUUUUAGGAUCGUAAAGCUCUGUUGGUAGAGAAGCGGUAUCGAAACAGAAAGCCACGGCUAACUACGUGCCAGCCGCCGCGGUAAUUC
rnacentral:rRNA from 1 species